AGCAGCCGCGGUAAUUCCAGCUCCAAUAGCGUAUAUUAAAGUUGUUGCAGUUAAAAAGCUCGUAGUUGAAUUUCGGGGUUAGUAGGUUGGUCAUGCCACAGGUAUGUACUGAUCUUACUGAUUCCUCCUUCCUGAUGAACCGUAAUGCCAUUAAUUUGGUGUUGCGGGGAAACUGGACUGUUACUUUGAAAAAAUUAGAGUGUUUAAAGCAGGCUAACGCUUGAAUACAUUAGCAUGGAAUAAUGAAAUAGGACGUUCGAUCCUAUUUUGUUGGUUUCUAGGAUUGACGUAAUGAUUAAUAGGGAUAGUUGGGGGCAUUAGUAUUCAAUUGUCAGAGGUGAAAUUCUUGGAUUUAUUGAAGACUAACUACUGCGAAAGCAUUUGCCAAGGAUGUUUUCAUUAAUCAAGAACGAAAGUUAGGGGAUCGAAGACGAUCAGAUACCGUCGUAGUCUUAACCAUAAACUAUGCCGACUAGGGAUCGGAUGAUGUUAAUUUUUUAAUGACUCAUUCGGCGCCUUA
rnacentral:rRNA from 1 species